UCCCCCUGCCCUCAAUCUUUCCCAGCAUCAAGGUCUUGUCCAAUGAGUUGGCUGUUGGCAUUAAGCAGCCAAAGUAUUGGUGCUUCAGCUUCAGCAUCAUUCAUAUUUUUAAUGUUUCAGAUGGUGAUCUUUCUUAAUUACUGGUCCUCCUUUAAUUACUGGCCUUACUUUAGGCCUCCUCAGUUUUUCCUUGAAUUGCUACCAUAAUCAUUUUACUUUUCUUCUGACAUUUGACCUUCCCUUAUACCACUAAUAAUAUAAUCUACAAAUGAUCUCUACACUAAUCUUCACUCCUGUGCUUUCUCUAUGUUUACCACUGAUUUCAGAGAGGAAGUUGAAAAGCUGUGCUACCCUUCCCUGCAAGACUCGACUGGUCCAAAGAAGCUGGUUCCAAGAGGGCCAAGGCUUUCAUGAGUGAGCACAACUAGGUGCCUCCUGGCAACUUUUGUUACUUUGUACCAAGAACACCUGUUAAACAAGAAGAAGCACCAGGGUAAAUAGACAAGUGCAGAAGCCAGUUCUCUAUUGGGUGAUUAUGAUGCUAGAGAAAUUCAGAAGCCAUGUUUUUAUGAAGGUUAUGGGAUGAGAGUCCGAGUCAUCACAUCAGGUAUUGCUCCUGGAGACACUCCACAAUUGCAAAUUACCAUUUCUGGAGAAGGGAAAGGCUAUCCACUCCAGUAUUCUGUCCUGGAGAAUUCCAUGGUCACAGUCCAUGGGGUUGCAAAGAGUUGGACACGACUGAGCAGCUUUCACUUUCAUCUCUGUAUCUGUGUCCCCUAUGACAACCACUAUUAACAUGUUCCAUGUUGAUGUCUAGGGAGUUACCAUUUCAAACCUGGCUCAUUCAGGCACUGACUCAUGGCUGUUCCUCAGGCAUAUCAUUUAAGAUCCGUGGUCUCAUUUUAAGCCAGCCAGGAAAUUGGGCCCAAACUCCAGACUGGAGACCUUUGAAAAUCAUGUUAAACCGUAUUA